AUUGAACGCUGGCGGCAUGCUUUACACAUGCAAGUCGAACGGCAGCGCGGGCUUCGGCCUGGCGGCGAGUGGCGAACGGGUGAGUAAUACAUCGGAACGUGCCCAGUAGUGGGGGAUAGCUCGGCGAAAGCCGGAUUAAUACCGCAUACGACCUGAGGGUGAAAGCGGGGGAUCUUCGGACCUCGCGCUAUUUGAGCGGCCGAUGGCAGAUUAGCUAGUUGGUGGGGUAAAGGCCUACCAAGGCGACGAUCUGUAGCUGGUCUGAGAGGACGACCAGCCACACUGGGACUGAGACACGGCCCAGACUCCUACGGGAGGCAGCAGUGGGGAAUUUUGGACAAUGGGCGAAAGCCUGAUCCAGCAAUGCCGCGUGUGUGAUGAAGGCCUUCGGGUUGUAAAGCACUUUUGGCGGGAACGAAAAGGACUGUGCCAAUACCACGGUUCGAUGACGGUACCCGCAGAAUAGGCACCGGCUAACUACGUG
rnacentral:rRNA from 1 species